CGGGGUGCAGCAGGCGCGAAAACUCUACAAUGCAGGCAACUGCGAUAGGGGGACAUCGAGUGGCAUCCACCUUGGGUGCCUGUCCAACCGUCUAAAAAACGGUUGUUAGCAAGGGCCGGGUAAGACCGGUGCCAGCCGCCGCGGUAAUACCGGCGGCUCGAGUGGUGGCCGAUAUUAUUGAGUCUAAAGGGUCCGUAGCCGGCUUUGCAAGUCCCCUGGGAAAUCCAGCGGCUUAACCGUUGGGCUUUCAUGGGAUACUACAUUGCUUGGGACUGGGAGAGGUAGGAGGUACUCGGGGGGUAGGGGUGAAAUCCUGUAAUCCUCCGGGAACCACCGGUGGCGAAGGCGUCCUACCAGAACAGGUCCGACGGUGAGGGACGAAAGCUAGGGGCACGAACCGGAUUAGAUACCCGGGUAGUCCUAGCCGUAAACGAUGCCCGCUAGGUGUCACGACGGUCGUGAAUCGUCGUGGUGCCGUAGGGAAGCCGCGAAGCGGGCCACUUGGGAAGUACGGCCGCAAGGCUGAAACUUAAAGGAAUUGGCGGGGGAGCAC
rnacentral:rRNA from 1 species